rnacentral:lncRNA from 1 species
AUGGGUCUGGGCCUCCUGCACUGGCAGCAAGUUCUGCGUGUCCCACCAAGUUUAAUGGCACAGAGGUCAAGGACUAGGGUCAUAGCCUGCCAGACCGGGGACUCGGGCGCCACCGGGGCGUCAAAUUCACAUCAACCAGCAUCAAUCUCUGAUCAUUUCCUGGAGCCUCAGGCUGUACCUGACACUGCUGGGAGAAGGAAGACCUNNNNNNNAAGUGGACUCCCUCUAGGAGCUUUGCAGAUCGCGUUGGAACUGGCCGUCCACCCAUGUCCGGAAGAAGAUUAAGUAGAACAAGAGGAAACAAGGACGUCCUUGAGAUAAAGCAGGGUUCACUUUCAUUUAAAAGCUCACUUCUCCAAUGGGAAGCUUUUUCUUUUAAUAGUAACAGUGAAACUCUUGGUGAAAGCUAACGCAGUGCCCCAACUCAAUGUUUAUAUCUAAAAUUACAACUGG